CUGCUGCCUCCCGUAGGAGUCUGGUCCGUGUCUCAGUACCAGUGUGGGGGACCUUCCUCUCAGAACCCCUACGCAUCGUCGGUUAGGUGGGCCGUUACCCCGCCUACUGCCUAAUGCGCCGCAUGCCCAUCCCUGUCCGGCCGAAGCCUUUUCCUGCCCUCCGGGAUGCCCCGGUGGCAUGUACGCGGGUUUAGCCCGCCUUUCGGCGGGUUGUCCCCCUGACAGGGGCAGGUUGCAUACGUGUUACUCACCCGUGCGCCGGUCGCCGGCGGAGAAAG
rnacentral:rRNA from 1 species